UGGGGAAUCUUGGACAAUGGGCGCAAGCCUGAUCCAGCCAUGCCGCGUGAGUGAAGAAGGCCUUCGGGUUGUAAAGCUCUUUUACCAGGGACGAUAAUGACGGUACCUGGAGAAUAAGCCCCGGCUAACUACGUGCCAGCAGCCGCGGUAAUACGUAGGGUGCGAGCGUUAAUCGGAAUUACUGGGCGUAAAGCGUGCGCAGGCGGUUUGGUAAGACAGAUGUGAAAUCCCCGGGCCUAACCUGGGAACUGCAUUUGUGACUGCCAGACUAGAGUGUAGCAGAGGGGGGUAGAAUUCCACGUGUAGCAGUGAAAUGCGUAGAUAUGUGGAGGAAUACCGAUGGCGAAGGCAGCCCCCUGGGCUAACACUGACGCUCAUGCACGAAAGCGUGGGGAGCAAACAGGAUUAGAUACCCAAGUAGUCCCUGAGCGGGCUGGCAAGGCGCAU
rnacentral:rRNA from 1 species